rnacentral:tRNA from 1 species
UGCCCUCUCGUCUAAUGGUAGGACGACUGGCUCUGGACCAGUUAGUCGUGGUUCGAAUCCACGGGGGGCAGCCA